rnacentral:rRNA from 1 species
CAGUCGCCGCGGGAACACGAAGGGGGCUAGCGUUGCUCGGAAUGACUGGGCGUAAAGGGCGCGUAGGCGGCGAUCAAAGUCAGGCGUGAAAUUCCUGGGCUCAACCUGGGGGCUGCGUUUGAUACUUGAUUGCUAGAGUGGGGAAGAGGGUCGUGGAAUUCCCAGUGUAGAGGUGAAAUUCGUAGAUAUUGGGAAGAACACCAGUGGCGAAGGCGGCUCACUGGACCGACACUGACGCUGAGGCGCGAAAGCGUGGGGAGCAAACAGGAUUAGAUACCCCGGUAGUCCCUGUCUCUUAUAC